rnacentral:rRNA from 1 species
GAUUCCCCUAGUAGCGGCGAGCGAAGCGGGAUGAGACCAAGAUGAAAAUCUCCUUUGGAGAGUUGUAGUCUGAGGUGCUUUGAGUAUUCAGUAAACGUAAGUCACAUGGAAUUGUGUACCGGGGAGGGUGAGAGUCCCGUCCAACGUCUACAGGAAUUUCUCGUACGAAGCACUCUCGAUUGAGUCGGGUAGCUUGAGAACGCUGCUCUAAUGGGUGGUAAACUUCAUCCAAGUCUAAAUACUGGUGGGAGACCGAUAGCGAACAAGUACCGUGAGGGAAAGAUGGAAAGCACUUUGAAAAGAGGGUGAAAAGCACCUGAAACCGCUACGGGGGAAGCGUAUUGCAUCAGUGAAAGGUUGCGCAACUGUUCAGCUGUUCUGCAGUGUACUCAGGUGUUGCAACGCGUGGGGAUGGCUGUUUGGUCUGGGAUUUUGUCAGGCCGGAUGGUGAGGGAUCUCUCGUUCUGAGGUGAGGAUCUCCACGAAAUGGUGCAAUUCGACCCGUCUUGAAACACGGACCAAGGAGUUCAGCACUACUGCGAGUCGAAGGGAAUUAAAAACCCAUGGGCGCAGUGAAAGCAAAAAAUUGGAAACUUACCAGGUUAGGGGGGUGUUGCGACAUUGUCAAAGCAUUCCACCCAGAGCAAUAGUGCUGAGACCCGAAAGAUGGUGAACUAUGCCGGAAUAGGGCGAAGCCAGAGGAAACUCUGGUGGAGGCUCGUAGCGAUGCUGACGUGCAAAUCGCUCGUCGAAUUUGGGUAUAGGGGCGAAAGACUAAUCGAACCAUCUAGUAGCUGGUUCCCUCUGAAGUUUCUCUCAGGAUAGCGAGCCGAUGUGUUUGUUGUUUUGUGUGGUAAAGCCAAUGAUUAGCGUAUUUGGGAAAGUAAUUUUUUCGGUCGAUUCUCAAACUUUAAAUGCGCAAGAUGAGAGGUGUUGCGUACUCGAACCCUCUCUGAGAAAACAUCGGCUCUGUGGGCCACUUUUGGUAAGCAGAACUGGCGAUAUGGGAUGAACCAUAAGCUCGGUUAAGGAGUCAAACUCAUCGCUUAUAGACCCCACAAAAGGUGUUGGUUCAUCCAGACAGCAGGACGGUGGCCAUGAAGUCGAAUCCGAUGGAAGUCGGAAUCCGCUAAGGAGUGUGUAACAACUCACCUGCCGAAUGAACUAGCCCUGAAAAUGGAUGACGCUUAAGCGGUGGUCCGACACCGAGCCAUUUUUUGAAAAUGAAAACACGCAGAAAAUGAGUAAGAGGGCGUGGUGGUCCAGUUUUGAAGGCAAAGACGCAAGUCUAGCUUGAACGGCCACUAGUGCAGAUCUUGGUGGUAGUAGCAAAUAUUCAAACGAGAACCUUGAAGGAUGAAGCGAGGAAGGGUUUCAUGCGAACAUUGAUUGGGCAUGAGUGAGUCGUUCCUAAGCCGGGUGGUAAUCGUUCUUCGAUCGGCGAAAGGGAAGCAGGUUAAAAUUCCUGCACACGGAUGUGAAAGUGGUGACACACAUUGAGAUGGAGACGUUAGCGGUGGCGCUGGACAGAGUUUUCUUUUCUGUUUGACUUGUUCGCGCACUCUGUGGAAUCCGAUUAUCGGGAGAUACAGGUGCCAAUGGGCAGAGCGUCGGGGCAUCCCCGGCGUCCAGAACGCCGCCGUUAGCCCUUGAAAAUCUAUCUGCGAUGAUUUCACGCCGUGGCGUACCGAUAACCGCAUCAGGUCCUCAAGGUGAACAGCCUCUAUUCAAUAUGAACAAUGCAGGUAAGGGAAGUCGGCAAAAUAGACCCGUAACUUUGGGAAAAGGGUUGGCUCUAGUGGAGUGGAGGAUUUUUGGUGUUUGAUGAACCGAUAGCGCGAUGUACGGAGGGUUUGGUAGAUGGAAACGUCUCUCGAACUCACACGUGAAGUGCUUUUAGUGAUUUGGGCACCGCCUUCAGCAUACUCCAAACUAGAACUGUAACGGGCAAAGGGAAUCCGACUGUUUAAUUAAAACAAAGCAUUGCGAUGGCCGAGGUCGGUGUAGACGCAAUGUGAUUUUGCAACGGGCCAAGGGAAUCCGACUGUUUAAUUAAAACAAAGCAUUGCGAUGGCCGAGGUCGGUGUAGACGCAAUGUGAUUUCUGCUCAGUGCUCUGAAUGUCAAAGUGAAGAGAUUCAAACAAGCGCGGGUAAACAGCGGGAGUAACUAUGACUCUCUUAAGGUAGCCAAAUGCCUCGUCAUCUAAUUAGUGACGCGCAUGAAUGGAUUAACGAGAUUCCUACUGUCCCUAUCUGCUUCUAGCGAAACCACAGCCGAGGGAACGGGCUCGGCAAAAUCGGCGGGGAAAGAAGACCCUGUUGAGCUUGACUCUAUUCUAAUUUUGUGACGCAAGUUAGGAGGUGUAGCAUAGGUGGGAGACUUCGGUCGACAAUGAAAUACCACUACUCUUAAUCUUGUUUUACUUACGGCGUCAGACUGCACGGUCAAUUUGACCUAUUUUUGCAUCAACAUAGAAUAUUAGGCCUUGGUCUAUCUAUGGAGCAGCGCGCCAGACACAUUUAGGAGGGGAGUUUGGCUGGGGCGGCACAUCUUCUACAAGACAACGAAGGUGUCCAAAGAUAAGCUCAGAGUGAACAGAAAUCACUCGUAGCGCAAAAGGGUAAAAGCUUGUUUGAUUUUGAUAUUCAGUGUGUGUUGAAAACGCGAAAGCGUGGCCUAUCGAUCCUUUUACGAUUCGAGGUUUGAAGCAAGA